CCUACGGGAGGCAGCAGUAGGGAAUCUUCCACAAUGGGCGAAAGCCUGAUGCAGCAACGCCGCGUGUGUGAAGAAGGUCUUCGGAUCGUAAAACCCUGUUGUUAGAGAAGAAAGUGCGUGAGAGUAACUGUUCACGUUUCGACGGUAUCUGACCAGGCAGCCACGGCUAACUACGUGCCAGCAGCCGCGGUAAUACGUAGGUGGCAAGCGUUAUCCGGAUGUAUUGGGCGUAAAGGGAACGCAGGCGGUCUUUUAAGUCUGAUGUGAAAGCCUUCGGCUUAACCGGAGUAGUGCAUUGGAAACUGGGAGACUUGAGUGAAGAAGAGGAGAGUGGAACUCCAUGUGUAGCGGUGAAAUGCGUAGAUAUAUGGAAGAACACCAGUGGCGAAAGCGGCUUUCUGGUCUGUAACUGACGCUGAGGUUCGAAAGCGUGGGUAGCAAACAGGAUUAGAUACCCCUGUAGUC
rnacentral:rRNA from 1 species